rnacentral:misc_RNA from 1 species
AAGUCGUAACAAGGUUUCCGUAGGUGAACCUGCGGAAGGAUCAUUACAUUCAGUAGCCUAGCUACUUGUUUACACCCUUGUUUUUUGCGUACCUAUUGUUUCCUCGGUAGGCUUGCCUGCCGGUUGGACAAAACUUAUAACCUUUUUAAAUCUUCAAUCAGCGUCUGAAUUAUACAUAAUAAUUACAACUUUCAACAACGGAUCUCUUGGUUCUG